GCCUUCUUAGUGUAAUGGUUAACACACUCGACACGUAUUCGACAGGUCCGUGGUUCGAUUCCCGGCAAAGGCG
rnacentral:tRNA from 1 species